rfam:Triticum aestivum genome assembly, contig: Triticum_aestivum_CS42_TGACv1_scaffold_408211_5BL
AUAGUACUCCCUCCAUCCCAAAAUUUUUGUCUUAGAUUUGUCUAAAUACGGAUUCAUCAAGUCAUGUUUUAGUAUUAGAUACAUCUAUAUCUAGACAAAUCUAAGACAAGAAUUUUAGAACGGAGUGAGUAGGAG